rnacentral:rRNA from 1 species
UACGUAGGGGGCGAGCGUUAUCCGGAUUUACUGGGUGUAAAGGGGGCGCAGACGGACAGGCAAGUCAGGUGUGGAAGCCCCGGGCACAACUCGGGGAGCGCACUUGAAACUGCAGGUCUGGAGUGCUGGAGGGGUGAGCGGAAUUCCUGGUGUAGCGGUGAAAUGCGUAGAUAUCAGGAAGAACACCGGCGGCGAAGGCGGCUCACUGGACAGUAACUGACGUUGAGGCCCGAAAGCGUGGGGAG